GACGAACCGUGCGAACGUUGUUCGGAAUCACUGGGCUUAAAGGGCGCGUAGGCGGCUUAUCAAGUCAGGGGUGAAAUCUUGCGGCUUAACCGUAAUCAGCCUUUGAUACUGAUAGGCUCGAGGGAGGUAGGGGUAUGCGGAACUUCUGGUGGAGCGGUGAAAUGCGUUGAUAUCAGAAGGAACGCCGGUGGCGAAAGCGGCGUACUGGACCUCUUCUGACGCUGAGGCGCGAAAGCUAGGGGAGCAAACGGG
rnacentral:rRNA from 1 species